UACGGAGGGUGCAAGCGUUGUCCGGAUUUAUUGGGUUUAAAGGGUGCGUAGGUGGCUUAUUAAGUCAGUGUUUAAAGUCUGCAGCUUAACUGUAGGUAUGGCAUUGAUACUGAUAGGCUUGAGUAAAGUUGAGGUAGGCGGAAUUGAAGGUGUAGCGGUGAAAUGCAUAGAUAUCUUCAAGAACACCGAUUGCGAAGGCAGCUUACUAAGCUUAACUGACACUGAGGCACGAAAGCGUGGGGAUCAAACAGG
rnacentral:rRNA from 1 species